rnacentral:lncRNA from 1 species
AUUAAUAGUAAUUAGGAGGGGUUUAAUGAAAUAAGGGAAGUUACACUUUGAGGGAUUAAGGAAAGAAAGAUUAAGAAAAACAGUUGUACGUGAAAACAUUUGUGUUGGAGAGAAGAACUAGAGAAAGCAAGAGAAACCAAGAACAAGGGGGAAAACUUAGGAGCUGAUUUGCUGUGUUAAUUCUUCCUACAAUUCUAAGGUAAGGGUGGGAUUAUCUUUCAAUAGUUAUAAUAUAUGAUUUCUGAAAAAUUAAUCAAUUUAACUGUUUUUAAGAUAAAAAUUGGAAUUUAGGGUUAAUGAUGAUUUUGAAGAAAAUGUGCAAGAAUCAGGUUCAUGAUGUUGUAUUUGAUGAUUAGUAUGAUUUUCUAAUCUAUAUUGUUCAUAUUGAUCAUAAUUGAAGUGAAAAAUAGAAUAUGAUAGAAGAGUUUUGGAAGUUCUGAAUGAAUGUUGAUUGUAAUGAAUUGUUGUUGUUUAUGUUGGAUUGCUGUUUCUUUUGAUGUCUGGUUGUAUAUAGGACUUGUAAACAUUUCAGGAAAACGUUUUGGGUGAUCAGGGGAUUAAAAUUGGGUUUUUGGAGUGAGAAGUCUGAAAAUCGUAACUUUUACCCUGCCCAGAUGAGUGGUCGCUUAAGUGAACUACCCGUCGCUUAAGCGAGCGAUCAAGAUCGCUGCCCAGAAAUUGUCCUUAGCCGUUCGCUUAAGCGAACCGUGAGCGACCCGUGAGCGAAGAACUUGUUUAGAUACGACAUUGUGUUCGCUUGAGCGAACCCGUG